GCGGGAGUGGCGUAAUGGCAGCCGCGUGCGCUUCAGGGGCGUAUGCCCGUAAGGGCGUGAGGGUUCAACUCCCUCCUCCCGCA
rnacentral:tRNA from 2 species